GAUGAACGCUGGCGGCGUGCCUAAUACAUGCAAGUCGAGCGAAUGGAUUAAGAGCUUGCUCUUAUGAAGUUAGCGGCGGACGGGUGAGUAACACGUGGGUAACCUGCCCAUAAGACUGGGAUAACUCCGGGAAACCGGGGCUAAUACCGGAUAACAUUUUGAACCGCAUGGUUCGAAAUUGAAAGGCGGCUUCGGCUGUCACUUAUGGAUGGACCCGCGUCGCAUUAGCUAGUUGGUGAGGUAACGGCUCACCAAGGCAACGAUGCGUAGCCGACCUGAGAGGGUGAGCGGCCACACUGGGACGGAGACACGGCCCAGACUCCUACGGGAGGCAGCAGUAGGGAAUCUUCCGCAAUGGACGAAAGUCUGACGGAGCCACGCCGCGUGAGUGAUGAAGGCUUUCGGGUCGUAAAACUCUGUUGUUAGGGAAGAACGAGUGCUAGUUGAAUAAGCUGGCACCUUGACGGUACCUAACCAGAAAGCCACGGCUAACUACGUGCCAGCCGCCGCGGUAA
rnacentral:rRNA from 1 species